CACCAAAGAAAAUUAUGUAGUGAGUUAUAGCGGAAAAUAAUUUUUCAUAACUUUCUAACAGCAAAUAAAUAAAUGAUACACUUGUCUAAAUGAACAUUUGUAACUUCUAUAAUAUUCAAAACAUCAUGAAUAAAAUUCAAACAUAAGCAAGCCCAUAGACAAAUAUAACCUAAAGGGAAAUAUUACAAUAUGCAGACAAUAAAUUAAUAGCCAAAAUUUAUAUUACAAAAUCAACAAAUAAAAAAUAUUCCACAAGGAAAUAAAAGACUAGAAAAAAAAUGUAUACGUGGGGAUGAUAGACAUGUGAAAAUGUGUUCAACCUCCCUCCCUAUCAAUCAAUUAAAACAUCAGCAGGUAUAAAUCUUCAUCCAUUUAAUGUAUUGAACAUACAUCUUGGGCACCUUUUCACUUUCCCUGUACCACCUCAUUCUUUCUCUCUGGACAAUAAAUGGUUAUUGAUAAUUCUCAAAGGAAAAUUUUUAUCUUCCAGCCUCCAGGAUCCAAACUAAGCAAAUCUUGGUUGAGUCUUUCAGCUUUCAGACUCAGAGAAAAUGCUGCACUGAGGUCCCUGAGAUUUUGCUUCCAGAGUGCCUGCCAAGGAACAAGCUAACACAAACUGUUUAACUUCCUUAGGAGUUUAAUUCCCAGAUAUCCCUAAGACUCUAAGUGCUAAUCACGGAUUCUUCUGAAGAGCAGAGAAUGUGGUCCUCAUUCUCCACAGCUGAUGCCAUCAGACUGUGUGGCCACAGGUGUUCCAGUCGUUGCCUCAAACCCACAGAAGUUCCUCAGGGGGAUGGACAGGAGAACAUCAGAGCAUUGUCUAAAAUCUUUCAUAGCAGAAUGAAAAUGGAGCCGGUGAAAGUAAAUUAAAUUUUGGGACCCCCGAACUCAUGUAGCCAAAGGGAAAAAUCAAGCUGGGAACUGGGUCACGCAAAUCUGCCUUCUCCAUUUGGUUCCUAAGUAAGAUGGCUACAAGAUGAAAAGCUACAUGCCUUCCCCAUAUUUUGCCUACAGGGAAAUUCCUGAGGAGCUGCAAGAUCUUUUAAGGUGUUUCUGUUAAAAUUUCAACAUGCCAAUGCAAAUUGAUAGCUUGUCUUUACAGGUGCAGUUACCCAUGGCUCACCAGACACAAAUGCAUAUCUGAUUAUUCCCUUACUCCAUUUUUGCCUGUGUUAUCAUAUGUAAAAUGCAGAUUCCUUGCAUUUUUCCUCUGCCCCAUUUGUCUAGGUCAUCUUAUGGAAAAAAAAAAUGCCGAUUCACUGAGGCAGACAAAGGCAUGAAUAACUAUUUUUCCCUAACUCCCUGUUACAUGCAAAUUGUGUACUUCUCAAUACCCUGCCUUUUCCCCUUUAAAUUUGGAGCCCUCAAAAUCAUCUUCAGAGAAAGGCAUAGACCUGUCUUCUGGGUGUGUGUCUUUAAUUUUGGCAAAUAAAUCUCCUAAAAUGA